rnacentral:rRNA from 1 species
UACGUAGGUCCCGAGCGUUGUCCGGAUUUAUUGGGCGUAAAGCGAGCGCAGGUGGUUUAUUAAGUCUGGUGUAAAAGGCAGUGGCUCAACCAUUGUAUGCAUUGAGAACUGGUAGACUUGAGUGCAGGAGAGGAGAGUGGAAUUCCAUGUGUAGCGGUGAAAUGCGUAGAUAUAUGGAGGAACACCGGUAGCAAAAGCGGCUCUCUGGCCUGUAGCUGACACUGAGGCUCGAAAGCGUGGGGAGCAAACAGG